GGGCACAAGCCCAGGAGUGAGGGGAACACCUCCCCUCCCUUCCCCUAGGGGAAGGGAGAGAUGCCCCAUAAUUCCUGAGCUUAUUUAAUAGUUAUGUAGCUCAAGGUUGUUUACUGCUUGUUUCUGACUUCCUGGAUUAAAAAAAAAUAUAAGUUACUCUACAAAAAAUUUUUUCAAAUGAGAGAUGUGGCUUUCUGUUUCUUAAAGAGCAUGGCAGUUUACAACUAGCAGCAGCAGCAAGUAGAUCAUGUAAGAAGACCUCCUGUACCAGCUUCCUGUCAGGCUCUGCCGUUUUCCCGGGGCAGCAGGAUUGCUAAGGAUUUCGGUAUCCAAGACAGCUUGAAGGGCAGUGAGGAAGAGUAGCAUCCUGCAACCUGUCUACGUUAGCUAUUAGCUUAAGUUUAGAAUAAAUAGUUGUGACGCUUAAUAUAAUUUAUGUUUACCCAA